ensembl:lncRNA
GUAAGUUCUGCUAUGCAGGGCUUUUGGUUUACUGAGGAGGUCCUAGUGGAGAGAGGGUGGACAGAGGAAGCCCUCAGGUGAGAGCGGACACUCCAAGCCACUAACUGUGCUCCACCACCAUCCCCCAGUGGGACCAGUCUCGCCUCCUCAUUCCUCCAGCUCAGUCUGAACAGUGUCAGAUGUUAGCUGUUCUGGGCCACCCGUGUGUCUUGCUCUGGCUUUGCAGCUCCACAAAGCACACUGGAAGCCUCAGUCAAUGGUAACUUCAAUACAAGGAGGGAGGGAAGGAGGUGGGCAAGGAAGAUGAGAGAACCCCUCCCCCAGCUCCACCCCCUGCAAGGGGUCAUUUUAGCACAGAACUUAGAGCUCCCUUUUGGACAAGGCUUCAUUACAGUAAGUUCCUGUCCUUGGCCACAUUCUGGCAUGUUCUGUGCCUCCUGCCCCCUGGCCUGGACCCCCAGCUUGUCGUGGAAAGCCCCUACUUGGAGGCUGUCACAUCAGAAGCCACAAAGGAAGGAAGUCUGUCAGGCCCAUCAGCACAUGGUCGACUGAAGUCUUGCUUUUUUAAAAUUUUCUUUCUAGUGCUCAUUUCAAAAUUCUCCCUCUCUCCUUUAGAGAGCAGCUUCUUUUUUUAACCCUCAGGCUAACGUGGAAAGAAUUUGUUUAGUUUGCAGUGGUACAGCGGGGCAAGCCGUCGGUGGGGUGAUUCAUACACCCGGGGCUGCUGACUUGCACGGGGCGGGACGAGGAAUGCCAGCUGGGGGAACUCGUUCGAAGUUCUAAUUGUGAUGAAAGAAGUUGCAGGCUGAUACAUCAGAAAAUAAAUGCUCAAGAGUAGCCUUUCAUUUCGUAGUUUGCUUUUCUGUAAGAAUGCUUUUUAUGUUUGUUGACAGCGGGAGGGGAUGGAAAAACUGGAAUGCACAUGCAGCAAUUUACUCCUUCUUGGUUCUGGAGGCCAGAAGUCCAAAAUCAGUUUCACUGGGGGCAAAUCAAGGUGUGGCCAGGGCCACGCUCCCUCCUGAAGCUCGAGAGGAGAAUCUGUGCCUUCACUCCUUCAGCUUCUGGUGGCUGCCAGUGUCACUUGGCUUGUGACCACGUAGCUCCAAUCUCUGUCUCUGUGGUCACAUGGCCUUCUUCUCAGCUAGGAAGAUUAGUGCUGAGCUAACAUCUGCUGCCAAUCAUCUUCUUUCUGCUGAGGAAGACUGGCCCUGAGCUAACAUCUGUGCCCAUCUCCCUCUACUUUAUAUAUGGGAUGCCUACCACAGCAUGGCUUGCCAAGUGGUGCCAUGCCCACACCUGGGAUCCGAACUGGCGAAGCCUGGGCCACCAAAGCAGAACAUGCAAACUUAAUUGCUGCACCACCAGGCUGGCCCCCACCUUUGGUGUUUUUUUGAUGGUGAACCUUAAAGUGCUCAUUGUAUCAAUUUAUCGGGACCUGCCUAUACCAAUGACUACUAUUUGUAGACAGGAAACAAACAACAACCAGAGAUUGCCAGGAUCCUGGAGUUAUUGGCAUCCACUUGCCUUUCCCUCGCCUUUUGCUGUUUUGGGGUUCCUGCCUCAUGAGAGCUAUAGCUGGAGGUCCAAGAAAGCAACUUGCACGCUUUGGGUGGGAAAAGCUUUUGGCCUUCACAAGGGGAAACGCCCCAGCGAACGUGUGGUUUUCCUCCAUAGCUAAGUUGAGCACAACAUGUUAAGAAAUAUUGCCCAAAACCUUUCCUAUCAGAAGCAUUUAAGUUAUUCUUAAACAGUUUUGACAACAGCAUAUUUUACCUCGAAGCCAUAACCAUGCAUUAUUUAGAUAACAGAUUUCUGCUGAAUUCCAUCCCCUUUCUUGUCCUAAAUGUUGUAAUGUAUUGGGUAUUUAAGAACACACGCAAGAACGUUAGCCACAGGACUAUGUGUCCAACCUACUCUGUAAAAUGCUCCUAUUAUCAAAAUGUAUGCUUCUGAGUUACAAAAUAGUUUUUCCCUUUUAGAUGGUAUGCAGAUUGCCAGGGAAUAAUGCCUUUUAUUGUUAACCUUUGUUAAGUAAUAGUAGCAUUUGUUUCCGUUAAAACAUGACUAUUUCUGUGUAACAUUUAUUGCAUAAAAAUAGAACAACGUUGACAAUUUGCAGCCCCUCUUCUUGCCAGCUCUUCCCCUAGAUGUCUGGAAGACAAACGUACUUUUUCAGUGGAAUCUAGAAUUUGUUUUUCAAAGAAUAAAAC